rnacentral:lncRNA from 1 species
AAUCCAAUGGAACAGUACGCUACAGAGGAGGUGACAGAUCUGGAUGCUUCUCGACAGUUUGAAGUUGCUCGAGAGUUUGGAUGAUAAGCAGCGGAUGUAGUGAUGUUUAUGGUGAGGGAAGAUGGAGGUUAGCUUGGAGAAGUGAAUCACAACUCAGAAGGCUUCCAUGAGGUGGAAGAAAGUUGCAAUGAAGAACAAGCUUAGGAAGGUGACUCUUGGAGAAGAACUUGCUAACAUUUCAGCAGAGUUUCUUUACUAUUAAUCCAAAAGUGAAGAUACAAGCUAUGCCAAAGAGGUUUUAUAGAUGAACCUCUCGGCCUCUUCAUGGAAAAUGCCUAGAUCCACAAUUUACCAACUCAUCAACAUGUGCUAAAUGUGUUUGGCUUCUAGAAAGCCUUAUGGAACACGUGAAAAAUAAGUUAUGCACAUAUGGAGGGGAAAAUCAAUAAUGCCGCCCCUAUGAUGAUAAACACACCCCUCCUUAUGUAGCAAUGUCCACUUUACCCUUCACCAUGUUCUUGGGUUGUUCUUUAUUUGGUGGGCUUGGGCCCCGCGUAUCAU